rnacentral:rRNA from 1 species
GUAAAUAAUAAAGGGCGUAUGGUGGAUGCCUAGGCUCUCAGAGGCGAUGAAGGACGUGAUAAGCUGCGAAAAGCUCCGUUUAGGUGCAAAUAACCUUUGAUGCGGAGAUCUCCGAAUGGGAUAACCCAAUAUGUUGAAGACAUAUUAUACCGUAAGGUAGGCAAACGCAGGGAACUGAAACAUCUAAGUACCUGCAGGAGAAGAAAACAAACGUGAUUCCCCCAGUAGCGGCGAGCGACCGGGGAUAAGCCCAAACCGUUAUUGUUUCGGCAGUAGCGGGGUAGUAGGACUGCGACAUUGAUGAAAUAAAUGAAAUGGAACACCUUGGAAAAUGUGAUCACAGAGGGUGAUAAUCCCGUACAUGUAAGUUUAUGAAUCAUAGCAGACUCCUGAGUAAGUCGGGACACGUGUAAUCCUGACCGAAUCCGCCGGGACCAUCCGGCAAGGCUAAAUACUCCUGAGAGACCGAUAGUGAACCAGUACCGUGAGGGAAAGGUGAAAAGCACUUCGAACAGAAGAGUGAAAUAGUCCCUGAACCCAUACGCCUACAAGCUGUCGGAGCCGCUUCGUGCGGUGACGGCGUGCCUUUUGCAUAAUGAGCCUACGAGUUACUCAUCACCAGCGAGGUUAAGUACUUCAGGUACGUAAGCCGAAGCGAAAGCGAGUCUGAAUAGGGCGUCAAGUUGGUGGUGGUAGACGCGAAACCUUAGUGAUCUACCCAUGGGCAGGGUGAAGGUUUGGUAACACAAACUGGAGGCCCGAACCGGUAAACGUUGAAAAGUUUUCGGAUGACCUGUGGGUAGGGGUGAAAGGCCAAUCAAACUGGGAAAUAGCUCGUACUCUCCGAAAUGCAUUUAGGUGCAGCCUCUGUUGUUUUGUUCUAGAGGUAGAGCUACUGAUUGGAUGCGAGGGCUUCACCGCCUAUCAAAUCCGGCCAAACUCCGAAUGCUAGAACAUAAAGACAGGGAGUGAGCCAGCGGGUGCUAAGGUCCGUUGACGAAAGAGGGAGAACUCAGACCAUCAGCUAAGGUCCCCAAUUAUAUGCUAAGUUGGAAUAAAAACGGGGUGGGACUGCUUAGACAGCUAGGAUGUUGGCUUGGAAGCAGCCAUUCAUUUAAAGAGUGCGUAACAGCUCACUAGUCGAGCGGUCCUGCAUGGAUAAUACGCGGGCAUAAGCAUAUAACCGAAGCUAUGGGAUUGUAGAUGAUACAAUCGGUAGGAGAGCAUUCCAUUCAGCAUAGAAGCAGUAUCGUGAGGUAUUGUGGAGCGGAUGGAAAAGCAAAUGUAGGCAUAAGUAACGAUAAUGCGGGUGAGAACCCCGCACGCCGAAAGAUCAAGGAUUCCCCGGCAAUGUCAAUCAUCCGGGGGUAAGUCGGAUCCUAAGGGUAAGCCGAGUGGCGAUCCCGAUGGUAAACAGGUUAAUAUUCCUGUACUGAUCAUAACUGCGAUGCAGCGACGCAGAGGUGACACUGCUGCGUACUGACGGAAUAGUACGUUGAAACCCGUAUUCUUUGAUACCGGUAGUGAAGCACGCCGGUAGAGAUGAAAGGUGAUAGUACCGCAAUGCUUCGGUUGCGCGGAUAAUGCAGGUAAGCUGACUGCCAAGAAAACCUGCUAAGCUUCAGGUAAUGAUCAUCCGUACUGUAAACGGACACACGUGAUCAGGUAGAAAAUACUAAGGCGCUCGAGAGAUUCAUGGUUAAGGAACUAGGCAAAAUGGUCCUGUAACUUCGGGAUAAAGGACGCUCUUGUGAAAGAGCCGCAGAUAAUAGGCCCAGGCGACUGUUUACCAAAAACACAUGGCUAUGCUAAUUCGCAAGAAGAUGUAUAUGGCCUGACACCUGCCCGGUGCCGGAAGGUUAAGAGGAGAGCUCAGAGGUAACUCGAAGGUUUGAAUUGAAGCCCCGGUAAACGGCGGCCGUAACUAUAACGGUCCUAAGGUAGCGAAAUUCCUUGUCGGGUAAGUUC